rnacentral:rRNA from 1 species
GAUGAACGCUGGCGGCGUGCCUAAUACAUGCGAGUCGAGCGAACAGACGAGGAGCUUGCUCCACUGACGGUAGCGGCGGACGGGUGAGUAACACGUGGAUACCCUCCUUUUAAGAAGGGCAUAAAUGAGGAAAAACGACCCUAUACCCGCAAAAGAUGUAAACCGGGAUGGUUAAAGACUGAAGGGAGUUUUGCGGGCGAUGUCAGAUUGGAUCGGCGCCGCAUUAGCUAGUUGGUAAGGUAACGGCUUACCAAGGCAACGAGCCGUAGCCGACCUGAGAGGGUGAUCGGCCACACUGGAACUGAGACACGGCCCAGACUCCUACGGGAGGCAGCAGUAGGGAAUCUUCCGCAAUGGGCGAAAGCCUGACGGAGCAACGCCGCGUGAGUGAUGAAGGUCUUCGGAUCGUAAAACUCUGUUAUUAGGGAAGAACAAAUGUGUAAGUAACUAUGCACGUCUUGACGGUACCUAAUCAGAAAGCCACGGCUAACUACGUG